rnacentral:rRNA from 1 species
UACGAAGGGACCUAGCGUUGUUCGGAAUUACUGGGCGUAAAGGGCGCGUAGGCGGUUUUUUAAGUCAGAUGUGAAAGCCCUGGGCUUAACCUAGGAAUGGCAUUUGAUACUGGGGGACUAGAGUAUGAGAGGGGAUAGUGGAAUUGCAAGUGUAGAGGUGAAAUUCGUAGAUAUUUGCAGGAACACCGAUGGCGAAGGCGGCUAUCUGGCUCAAUACUGACGCUGAGGCGCGAAAGCGUGGGGAGCAAACAGG